rnacentral:lncRNA from 1 species
CCUCGGCACACAGGUCUGCCGCGAGCCGUUAUCUCACGCCCGGCGAGCAAUGAUAAUCGAGCGCACGCGGCCGAGCCAGCUCAGUUGUCUACCGGGAGCGAAAGCUGAUCGCAGCAAACGUGCCGCGAGUCGCGACACUUCGCGACGCCUCGAGCGCCCACAGCGCUUUUACCAUCUCCUCAGCCGGACUUGCUGGAGAAGUCAGCAGGCAGCACUUCUUGGAAAACAACCUUCUACCUGCCCUACGUAACAAGGACAGCAACGAAGAAGCCAUGGCAUUUUGACAGCCCUUACAAAACCUACCCCUGAAUCUUUAAACCGCUAACCCCCAACGCAGUUUAGGCUAGUAACGACUUAACGAUUUCAUACUAACCCACCACGGCACCGAAGAAAGGAGGAGACCAGACAUCUCAGGCCGGAUGGCUUCGACGACGUGCAUGCUGGCGCCAGAUUACAACGCAGCAAACAGCGAGAGGAAAGAGCUGAAGGCUGCA